AGACAAGGGAGGAUUCACACCAACAUGAAAGACUCUGCUCUAUUUGAUGGCUUCCCUUCUCAGUACAGACAGAUCGACAGGGGUAGGAAUGUUCACCACAACCAGUUUGACAUGAUGAAGAACACAGAAUUGAGAACAGAAACAAGAAAUGUAACAUUUGACCUGGAGAGUUCGAGAAGCCGAGAGCAAGGAACCAGUCAAGGUGAGGACAAGAGGGAGGAGGAAGUGAGAAGCUCCAGAGACAAGGAGAGAAGAAGACACCAAGCUAAAGUCCAGUCAAGCCGGUUACUGAAAGUUAAACUAAACUUGAACCCGCUAAGAAAAAGCAAAGUCCAUCCGAAGAGGAAAACUAAGCUGGACCACUCAGAGAAAAGUAGCUCAAAGAAGAGUAAAGAUAAAAGGCACGAUGGAAAAGAAAGAGGAGAGGAGAGGGAAGGGAAAGGAAUGUCUGGUAAGAAAAUGAAGGGUAGCAGUGAGAAAAUGAAGAAAUCCACCAAGACUAAAGGAUCGACUGACGAUGUUGAGGAAAAGAAAGAGGAAGAAGACAGAGGAGAAGGACGGCAGAAAAGCAAAACAGUCUCUAAGAAAAAAGGUGGGAAGGAAAGUACAGAAGGUGACCAGAGCGAGAAUACACACCCAGAGAACUCCCAACCUGGCGAUACAACCAAUACUGCUAACCAAUCAGCCUCUGCUGUUGCCAUUGGACAGGGACAAAACAUGCAGGUAGGGAGUAUUCAGUAUCAGGGAACUGGAUUGGUUAUGGGGAGUGCUCAGCUUUCCUCGCAGCAUCUCUUAUCCCUCUCUGCCCCUGACAGGAAUCGCACUACCAACCUCUCCCUGCUUGGUUCUGCGGGCUCACAACUGACUGGCAGCAGCCUCUCUCUUCAAGGAGGGAAUUUUUUGGUCAACACCACCGCCCCAGUAUCUAAUGCACUUUUCCCCAGUGGUCCAUCUAAUUCCGUUACUCCCAACAUAGCCAUCAGUGGUGCCCCAGACAGCUUCAGCAGGCAGCCUGGGGUAGGCCUCUCGUCUCCUGCUACCUCUCUUCUAGCUAACACGGUACAUGCCAACCCUUUGCAAGCAAGUGCAAUACAUACCUCUCCUCUUCUUAACGCUCAACCUGCAGGACUAGCCUCGAGUUUAGCAGCAAACUCAGUUGUCAAUCCUGCACCUAUGCUGUCUCUCUCACAGAGCAAGCUGCCUCCUGAAAGCUCUUCUCUUGUAGCAAGCCUGAAUAUUGAUCCAACCCAGGGACCAGGCCUUCAGACUGGGGAAGGAAUACAUCAGAGCCUCACUCAGGCACCUCUAAGUGCGGAUGGUUUGUCUGUGGUGACACCUCAGGCUCCUGGACAAGUGACUACUGUGGAGAAUCUGUCAAACAAUAACAGUCAGACGAAGACUGGGCGUGAGCAUGAUGGCUCCACAGUCCACACGUCAGCUGGAGAUGGGGCUCUAACUGAAGGACUUGCUGCAGGGUUGUCAGGAGGCAGCAUGCAGGCAGCAGAUGUGUGUGCAUCAGGUGUCUCUGCACCCAGUUUGUCCACACAGAGUGUAUCCUCCACAGGCGAUGCAGCUGCUGCCGCUGCACUGCUACAGCAAGAGUACCUGUCAGAGGAAGGAGGAGCUUCCCCUAGGAGGAAACUGAGGCUGGUGCUUCCUGAGAAGACAUCCAGCCGACCACCCACCGCACUGGAGAGAAAAAUACGCUAGCUGCUUAUAUCAUAUUUGACAGGUGAAAUUGUUUAGUGUUUUAAUAAAAGUCAGAAGAAGCACUUAGAAGCAUUAUUUAAAACAGUUUAACAUCAGAUGCAGAAAAUACGGUAGCUGAAAGCCUUCAUGCGUUAUUAAUGUUAUAAACUGCUAGAAAAUGCCAUUUUGUCAUUUUUGGGUGUUUUCUGUAUGUUUGGUGUAGAUUUAUUUUUAUAAUUACAUAUUUUAAUAAAGA
ensembl:lncRNA